rnacentral:rRNA from 1 species
AUGACAAAUACUGUACAACAAAGUAACGCUACGGAAAGCCCCACAGACCAGUCCAAUUGGCCGUCGCACGCAUGCCGACGUCGUACAAAAGCGGAUAUAGAAAGUGGUGGUCAAAAGAAGAAGGGGCGAGGUGUCCUCAAAGGAAUCAAGGUCGCCAAGAAGCGAUUCGCCAAUGGUUCCUCAAAGCUUCACAUUGAAUUUUCCAAAACAUUGGGAGGUUCUAUCGGAGAGAACUAUCGUAUGUUUGUGGAUGACGUGGUGGUUUACAUGAAAAGGAAGGCACCACUCAUUGGUGUGAACAAGUGGUCUGCCAUUGAUUCUUCUGUGAAGGAUUCAAUCGUUGCUGAUGUCAUUGCUAACUGGGAUUUGGAGGACACAUAUUCCACGAAGGGAAAAAUACUAACAAUUGCUAGAGAGCGCUAUAGAGGAUGGCGGUCAACUUUGCAUUCAACAUACAAAGCAUACAUUACUGAUGCUCAAAGAAGGGCCAAUAAACCCGAGGAUGUAACUCCAGAGGAGUGGGAUUAUAUGAUCAAUUAUUUUGGUACUGAUUUAAAAUUUCAGGUUACUUUUGUGUACAUUACUAGGUGUAGUAAGUAA